CUCUUGUUUUGGAAAGGUUCUUAAUUCCGGACAACAGAGAUGACUUCUUCACUUGUGCCCAACGGAGUAGAAUUGUUCAUAGAAUUUUGAUGAGAACUCAGUAUGGU